CAGUGCUUUACCACCCAUAGUGACAACGGAUGUGCCUUCCUGAAAGACAAGAACAAGUUAUAAAAGCAAGAAUAUAUUGGUCCAUGAAUAAGCUCUACAUGAGCUUUUUAGAAACCAUAUGCCACUGCCACAUUCAUGGACUACACCUGGGAAGCAGAAGUUUUACCAAGAAAAGGCCUUUGUUCACCCUCCUGCUUUUCUUCUAUUCCCGUUGAUCUUGGCAACUGAGCCC